ACUCUUCUUGCCAGCCUCGUGGCUGGAGGAGUAUAGACCUGAGAUGAUGACCCUUCCAUCGUAACCCCAGCCAUGGGGGAACUUAAGGGAUUGCAGAUCUGGGAGAUUUGAACCAUCUGUCUCCAAACAUGGGCUGUCUGUAUAGUAAGGGGAAUGUCCACUUUAGUAUAGAUGAUGAAAUCUAUGACAUAAAGGAAACAAGGAAACAACAGC
rnacentral:lncRNA from 1 species